rnacentral:rRNA from 1 species
ACGAAGGGUGCAAGCGUUAAUCGGAAUUACUGGGCGUAAAGCGUGCGUAGGCGGUUCGUUAAGUCUGUCGUGAAAGCCCUGGGCUCAACCUGGGAAUGGCGAUGGAUACUGGCGAGCUAGAGUGCGGUAGAGGUAAGUGGAAUUCCCGGUGUAGCGGUGACAUGCAUUGAUACCGGGAGGAACACCCAUGGCGAAGGCAGCUUACUGGACCUUAUCUGACGCUGAGGCGCGAAAGCGUGGGUAGCAAACAGGA